GAUGAACGCUGGCGGCGUGCUUAACACAUGCAAGUCGAACGGAAAGGCUCCUGCUUGCAGGGGUACUCGAGUGGCGAACGGGUGAGUAACACGUGGGUGAUCUGCCCUGCACUUCGGGAUAAGCCUGGGAAACUGGGUCUAAUACCGGAUAGGACCACAUUUUGGAUGGUGUGGUGGAAAGUUUUUCGGUGUGGGAUGAGCUCGCGGCCGAUCAGCUUGUUGGUGGGGUAAUGGCCUACCAAGGCGUCGACGGGUAGCCGGCCUGAGAGGGUGUACGGCCACAUUGGGACUGAGAUACGGCCCAGACUCCUACGGGAGGCAGCAGUGGGGAAUAUUGCACAAUGGGCGCAAGCCUGAUGCAGCGACGCCGCGUGGGGGAUGACGGCCUUCGGGUUGUAAACUCCUUUCGCUAGGGACGAAGCGCAAGUGACGGUACCUGGAGAAGAAGCACCGGCUAACUACGUG
rnacentral:rRNA from 1 species